CAACUGUUGUGAAUCAGAAUCACUCAAGCAGCGAAUCGUUCAGAGCCGUUAUGGACUUCCCAACCUACUCCCUCACUGAUUUGCGCGCCAUUUUUCGGAUUUGAAAAUAACCGGCAACCGUUUCUGCGACUAACUGCAGGAACAAAGGUCUUACGGUUUUGGAACGACAUGAGGGUGGCAGCGGUGAGCUGCAGGUGUGUCGCACCUGUCCGAGGGAGGCAGUCGUGGCAGUGUGCACGAGUGCGGUCGGAGAGGAUCCCACGGUCGCUCCGUUUGCGUGCUGCAGUCCGUCGUCCUGUUGUACUGCAGGCUCCGCCCCCGGCCCUCAAUCUGAAGCGUGAUUGGCUGCUCGUAGCUGGCCAGGAUACGGAAGGCCUCUCGCUUCUGCAGGUGGAAUAUGAUGUCGUGAUGGGGGUCAACCCUGUUGAGCUUCCUGUGUGACCUCUGACCCUUCAGCUGCGUGGUUUUCUUGCCACGUGAUUGGCUGACGGUCGUAUCUGGGCAGAUCUGAGACACGAGACAAAGAAAACACGCACACGGUGAGCUGUUCUCUGAUUAUUUUGCUAGUGCUUAUAAAGCUGGUUGUUAAUCUGAUCAGGAGUUAGUCUGCAUUAAACACACACACACACACACACAAGUGAACUUUGCAUGUUAUUUCAUGGACACAGCAGAUGUGAUAUGGACGUGAUUUAAUCUGUUGUAAAAUCACAAUGGCCCUUGAACUGGUGCAAUUUGGAUAUUUCUACUAAAACCUAUAUAUUCAGAGGUUUGAAAGAAAUUAAUAUUUUUAUUCAGUAAGAACACGUUAAAUUGAUCAAAAGAGACAUUUAUGAUGUUACAAAAGAUUUCUAUUUCAAAUAAAUGCUGUUCUUUUGAACUUUCUAUUCAUCUGUGAAUCCUGAAAAAUAAAAUGUGUCACGAUUUCCGCAAAAAUAUUGUGCAGCACAACUGUUUUCAACAUUGAUAAUAAUCAGAAAUGUUUCUUUAGCAGCAAAUCAGCAUAUUAGAAUGAUUUCUGAAGAUCAUGUGACACUGAAGACUGCAGUAAUGAUGCUGAAAAUACAGCUGCACAUCACAUAAAUAAAUUACAGUUUAACACAUAUUCACAUAGAAAACAGCUUUUUUACAUUAUAAUAAUAUUUCACCAUUUUUAGGGAAAAUCAGACCAAGUUUUCAUGAUGGUCUUAACUAGUAAAUAUCAACUAAUCAUAUUAUUUACAGUAUUUUUGUGUCUUGUGUACAAUAUGUUUCUCUAAAAAAGGAUUUUGUGAUUUUUGCUUAAUGAGGUCAUUAAACAUUUAAAUGUCAUGAAAUAGAAACUCACUUUGGUUUGACCAUACGGUAAAAAAAAAACCUUUCAUGAUGUCACUUCCUUAUAAUGAAGAGGGGAACCACCACGGCAGAAAGUGAGGAACAAAGACAAGUACUUUAAGACUAAAAUACACGUGUUUUGACGAUAUUCAGUUCUCAGUGAAAAACCAUUUAGUUAAUCAAAGCAACAUCACAAGAAUAUAUAUAUAGAUAUAGAUGAACAGUAAUGUGAAUUAGUAAGUGAAGAGAUUUUCUAGGGUUGUUUUAUUUAUGUAUCUCGCUGUGUUUUAGUGGUGAGCGUGUCUGCGCGUGUGUGUGUGUGUGUGUGUGUGUGUGUGUGUGUGGUAUUUCCCCCUUCGCACCCGUGUUUCUGGAUCAGAGAGUCGCACACAAAUGAUUUGCAAAUCAAACCUGUUCAGCUGAAUGCUCCUGGAGUUUCACAAACAUCAUUCACGAAGCCCCAGCGUCCCGCAGGCGUGUGAACGACAGCCAUUCAGAGAGUGUGUGUGUGUGUGUGUGUGUCAGACGGGUGGAGGAAGGGUGUCACGCCGUCGUAUCGCACACACACUGGUCAAACUGUCUGCUGAAGUCCCUCAGGAGAAAUAAGUCAUCACUAGUCAUCAUCUAAUGCGGAGCAGUUCAGAUCUUUUGAUGAGAUGCGUUUGAGCUUAUAUUAGGAUCCAAGACUUUUGAUGCAGCACAGUUUCAGACGUUUUUGUGUGUUUAUAUUUAUCCCCGGUGCAAUAACUUUAAAACAUAGGUAAAAUAGUCUCGCCGGGAAGUGUUUUAGUAGUUUUAGUAUAAGUUUAUAUGUUUUUUCCCCGAGGUUAUGGUACUAUGUUUUUUUUUGUUUGUUUGUUUUUCAAAAAUUUCUACAUUUUAGU